AAAUGAAAGGUGAAAUAUUUGAAUUCAGAUUUCAUUAGUUUUCACAUUUCAGAAGUGCUUAAAUCUAUUUUCAGUAGAUUGAGGACGUGCAGAAUACAGAGUGGACGAAUGUAAAGUAACUUGUAAUGACUGCAGACCUAUGACCCUGCAAAGGAAUACAGUGAAAACGAAAGAUCUGAGGAAACAGCUGCAUGAUAGCUAUCACCAGAGUCAUGGGACAAUUUGAUCAUGGAGCAGAAAAUCAGCUUUUAAUAGUGACAAUGACAACAAACGGACACCGUCUUCAUGCAAAAAGUGAAAAAUCUAUUCCUGAAGAGGAUUUGAAAAUAUACAUAUGAGCUGUGGGAGAAGAGAAAAGCAUAUAGUAGGGCGUAUAAAAUUUUCAGAGGCAAAUAUCAGUGGAGACCACUAUCCCCCUAUGCAGGCAAUGACAAAUGAAUAGUUUCUGGGCUGUGGCAAAUAAAAAAGUUUACUUUGCAACAUUAAGGACAUUUUAAUUUCCUCAUCUACUCUUUUCUACUCUCCAAAAUUGUUAGAUGAUGGUCCAUCAGCCCACUACUGGAGGAUUUCGCUGCUAUUUUUAUGACUGCACUAAGACAUAAUUCAGAAACUUUUGUAUUAAGUGGAAGUCUUUUCUUUGUUUUGAGCCAAUUUU